UACGGGGGGAGCAAGCGUUGUUCGGAUUUACUGGGCGUAAAGGGCGCGUAGGCGGCCACCGCAAGUCGACUGUGAAAUCUCCGGGCUUAACCCGGAAAGGUCAGCCGAUACUGCGGGGCUAGAGUGCAGAAGGGGCAACUGGAAUUCUCGGUGUAGCGGUGAAAUGCGUAGAUAUCGAGAGGAACACCUGCGGCGAAGGCGGGUUGCUGGGCUGACACUGACGCUGAUGAACGAAAGCGUGGGUAGCAAAUAGG
rnacentral:rRNA from 1 species